GAUGAACGCUGGCGGCGUGCCUAAUACAUGCAAGUAGAACGCUGAAGGAAGGAGCUUGCUCUUUCCGGAUGAGUUGCGAACGGGUGAGUAACGCGUAGGUAACCUGCCUGGUAGCGGGGGAUAACUAUUGGAAACGAUAGCUAAUACCGCAUAACAGUAGAUGUUGCAUGAUAUCUACUUAAAAGGUGCAAUUGCACCACUACCAGAUGGACCUGCGUUGUAUUAGCUAGUUGGUGAGGUAACGGCUCACCAAGGCGACGAUACAUAGCCGACCUGAGAGGGUGAUCGGCCAAACUGGGACUGAGACACGGCCCAGACUCCUACGGGAGGCAGCAGUAGGGAAUCUUCGGCAAUGGACGGAAGUCUGACCGAGCAACGCCGCGUGAGUGAAGAAGGUUUUCGGAUCGUAAAGCUCUGUUGUAAGGGAAGAACGAGCGUGAGAGUGGAAAGUUCACACUGUGACGGUAUCUGACCAGAAAGGGACGGCUAACUACGUG
rnacentral:rRNA from 1 species